rnacentral:tRNA from 1 species
GGAAGCGUGGCCGAGUGGCCUAAGGCGCCGCCCUGCUAAGGCGGACCGGGAAACCGGCGGAGGUUCGAAUCCUCCCGCUUCCG